rnacentral:lncRNA from 1 species
ACUAAUUGGAUAACGUACUUUGACCCCGAAGCUGUGCCGAAGAUGAUUGAUUUCCAUCUUGGGAUUUGCUUGAUUUUACUUUGUUGUUGUGUUGGUGAACCGCCGUGAGUAGAGGGCAUUGCGUAAAGAAACAAGAGGUUUUUUCAAAAAUGUCACCCCGCCUCUUGUUUCUUUGCUCAAGGCGUUUGCUUGAUUUUUUUAUCUUGGUGACCGGGAUCGAAGCUUUGGGUUUUUGCGAUAAAAGUGUUGUUGUUUCCUUUAGCACGACCUUUAUUCAGAUUAUCUCGAGAAAAGGUCCUCAAAGAUCGUUGUUUUUUGCAUAAAUUAUAAUUGCACUUGUGAGGGGCCGUGAAGAUAAGUCCACGUAAAACUUGAGACCGAGUUUUGUUGACUUAGAUAAUAGACGAAGGUUCGGUUCAUAUCGCAACCUUCAGUUGCUUCAACCUACUUCCUCGGGGAGCGAGAAAAAAGAAGGGAGAUUCUAUCUUAAUGUUUAGCUGCUU